ensembl:lncRNA
UAUAUAAAUUGGAACAAGAUCAUUAUCAUGUUUGACAUUAGUUAAAAUGCUGAAGAAUAUUACUAUUUUAAGUGCAAUACAUUUUCAUAUUGCAAAUCAUUUUCAAAUUGAUUUUCAAAUAUGUUUUGAAAUAAGGUUGUAACUCAUUCAUUUUUCUAUUUUCCAGGAUUAUAAAAAUACUUAAUGCAGUGUAAAAACUGCAAAUUCAGCAGUUCGAGUGAAGAGGUCCUUCUAAAGCACUAUCGGCUGCAUCACCCAAGCAUUUCCAGCUGGCCUUGUAUUCAUACGGGGUGUGUUUGUGUCUUCAGGACAGCAGGUGCUUUAAAAUCCCACCUAUCUACAUCACACCAAAACCGUCACAGAGUCAGUCAAGAACUUUCAACAAUAAGUUGUGAACUGUGUGAAUUCCAAGAGAUUUGCAGUGAGAAACGUUUCUUCAUUCACCUUGGAAAUCAUCUUAAACGAAAAGAAACAAUUAAUUGUCCCUUUAAAGGAUGUGGAUUUAAAACAAACAAUCGGCCAACGUUCAGCUCUCAUAGAAGCAGAAUACACAGAAAGCAUACACUAAAAGACUUUAGAACUGCAAUACAAACGGUCUUCGAGAGGAUUGAUAAUGAAGUGCCAUCUAUCUCACAGAUCUCUUCAGAAGUCGAAAUUGGAGAUGAUGAUAGAAUACAGUUUGAUGAAAAUGUAAAUAGUCAAACACUUGAACAAAAAAUUGCAUCUCUUUUUUUGUGUAUGCAGACUGUGUUCCAUGUUUCAAAAGAUGCUACUCAGAAAAUAAUUGAGGAACUUAAAAGUAUUUUGUUGUUCUCCAAAUCUCAGGCCCUUCAUAGUGUAGAAUCAAUUCUCACAAAGCACAACGUUAAUGUUGAAAGUAACAUUGUCAAAGAAAUUGCAGAUUCAGUGUGUUUGACAAAUCCACUUUUAACAGCAAUAUCUGCAAAGGGUAUUUUGUCUACUGACUACAGAAGAUCUCUGUAUUUCAAACAACACUUUCCUUUAAUAGAACCUACAGAAUAUCUUUAUGAACAUACCCAGAAAGCAUCCUUUGUUUAUGUGCCAGUCAUUCAGGUACUUGAAACUCUGCUAAGUUUACCAUGUUUUUUGGAUAAAGUUGAAUUUACAAACGAACAUUUAGCUGGACAGUACAAUUCGUUUCAAGAUGGGAAGUACUACAGGGAGAAUGUGUUUGUUGCAGAAGAAGAGGUUGUUCUGAGUUUGGCCUUUUAUAUAGAUGAGUUUGAAGUUUGCAACCCAUUAGGCACAUCCAGAAAAAUUCAUAAAAUUACUGCUGUCUACUGGAUGAUCUUAAAUUUACCUGCAAAGUGGAGAUCUACUUUAACAUCAAUUCAGUUAGCUGUUUUAGGAAGGAGUGUUGAUGUUAAAAAAUUUGGCUAUGACAAAUUAUUGGAACCUUUGAUAAAAGAUUUGAAAGCUUUGGAGCAAAAUGGUGUGUUUGUGGAGACUUUGGGGCAUUAUGUGAAGCCAACUGUUUUCUGUGUAUGUGCAGAUAAUCUCGGAGCCCACAGUCUUGCAGGCUACCAGGAAAACUUUAAUGUUGAUAAGUUCUGUCGGUUCUGUUUGAUAAGUCGUGAUCAAAUAGCAACUGUUAAGGCUAGUGAUUUCCCUCUGAGGACUGUUGAAGAGCACAAUUCAUUUGUGGAACAGCUUAAGCAGAGUGACACCCUGCAGAGUGUUAAUGGUGUAAAGAGUGAGUGUUCAUUAAGCAAACACUUGAGAAACUUUCAUCCAGUCACUGGGUUUCCCCCAGACAUUUUACAUGAUUUUUUUGAAGGGGUCAUACCUGUGGAAUUAUCUUUGUGUCUCAGAGAUUUGAUCUCAAAAGGUUACAUUACUCUUGAAGGAUUAAAUCACUCAAUCAAAACAUUCCCUUACAAGUACUCUGACAAGGUCAACAAACCAAAGGCAAUUCUAAAAUCAGGCCUAGUUAAAGGAUCAAUUGGGGGUAAUGGUCAUGAAAAUUGGUGUUUGUUGCGCUUACUUCCUUUAAUGAUUUGGGAUUGCGUCCCAGAACACGAGCCAUCAUGGGAAAUAUUAAUGGACCUAAAAGAAAUUGUAGAAAUUGUCCUAUCACACAGUCUCUCUGAAGAAACUCUGUGUUACUUGUCAUGUAAAUUGGCAGAUCACCGCUUGCUUCUGACUUCCACGUUUCCAGACUUCAAAUUAAAGCCGAAGCACCACUUCAUUGACCACUACCCACAACUGACAAAAUGCUUUGGACCUUUGGUGAACGUGUGGACUAUGCGAUAUGAGUCCAAGCACUCAUUCUUUAAGAAUGUAGCACGUGAUAUUCACAAUGUGAAAAAUUUGCUGCUUACUCUUUCUGUUAAACAUCAGCAAAUGAUCGCCUAUCAUUUGAAUGCUCAAAGCCUUUUGAAAUCCGAGUUAUAUGUUGAAAAAGUGGAUGUGGUUAAAAUAUCACUGUUAGAUGCAAAACUGAAAUGUGCUAUACAAAGAAAGUUUCCUCAUGUGUACACUGUGUCACUGUCCAAAAAUGUUUGUCUGUAUGGAACUCAAUAUGCUAAGGACAUGAUUAUAUCUGCUGGACAAUCCAAUGGACAGCCUGAGUUCUUCAAGAUAGAGCACAUGUUGCUCUGUCCUGAC